GGGGCGGUGGCGGAAUCGGCAGACGCAACGGACUUAAAAUCCGUCGAUGGUGACAUCGUGAGGGUUCGACCCGCAAACACUCCU
rnacentral:tRNA from 1 species